AUGUCGCUCCAGGUCGAGGACCCGCGGAGCACGGAGACGCCGGCGCCGCUCAAGCGCCACGACUCGCUGUUCGGCGACGCGGAGAAGGUCUCCGACUCGAAGCACCAUGGGUCUCAGGUGAGCUGGAUGCGGACGCUGAGCCUGGCUUUCCAGAGCGUGGGCAUCAUCUACGGCGACAUCGGGACGUCGCCGCUCUAUGUCUACUCCAGCACCUUCCCGGACGGCAUCAAGGACAGAGAUGAUCUCCUGGGCGUCCUCUCGCUCAUCCUCUACACUCUCAUCAUCAUACCCAUGCUCAAGUACGUCUUCAUCGUGCUCUACGCCAACGACAACGGAGAUGGUGGCACGUUUGCGCUUUACUCGCUGAUAUCACGGUACGCGAAGAUCAGGCUGAUCCCGGACCAGCAGGCGGAGGAUGCGGCGGUGUCCAAUUACCACAUAGAAGCGCCAAACUCGCAGCUCAAGAGGGCGCAAUGGUUGAAGCAGAAGCUCGAGUCCAGCAAGGCGGCCAAGAUUGUGCUCUUCACCCUCACCAUCCUCGGCACGUCAAUGGUGAUAGGCGAUGGAACCUUGACCCCAGCAAUCUCUGUGCUCUCUGCGGUGAGUGGGAUCAGAGAAAAGGCGCCAAGCUUGACUCAGACACAAGUGGUCCUCAUCUCAGUGGCCAUUCUGUUCAUGCUCUUCUCGGUGCAGCGCUUCGGGACCGACAAGGUCGGGUACACCUUUGCGCCGGUCAUCUCAGUGUGGUUCCUUCUGAUUGCUGGCAUCGGGUUGUACAACCUCGUCGUUCACGACGUCGGUGUUCUACGGGCCUUCAAUCCCAUGUAUAUAGUGCAAUACUUCGUAAGGAACGGGAAGAGUGGGUGGGUGUCACUUGGUGGAAUUAUCUUGUGUGUCACAGGCACAGAAGGCAUGUUUGCUGACCUAGGACAUUUCAACAUCAGGGCUGUUCAGCUCAGCUUCAACGGCAUCCUGUUCCCGUCGGUGGCACUGUGUUAUAUUGGGCAGGCGGCUUACCUGAGGAAAUUCCCAGACAACGUUGCAAACACCUUCUAUAGAUCCAUCCCAGCACCAAUGUUCUGGCCAACCUUCAUCGUCGCCAUUCUUGCCGCCAUCAUCGCAAGCCAAGCCAUGCUCUCCGGUGCAUUUGCCAUCCUCUCCAAGGCCCUGUCUCUCGGUUGCAUGCCAAGGGUUCGAGUCAUCCACACCUCGCACAAGUACGAGGGGCAGGUGUACAUUCCUGAAGUGAACUUCCUCAUGGGAUUGGCUAGCAUCGUCGUCACGGUCGCCUUCCGGACGACCACCAGCAUCGGCCAUGCUUACGGGAUCUGCGUGGUGACCACGUUUGCGAUCACCACCCAUCUGAUGACCGUGGUCAUGCUGCUGAUAUGGAAGAAGCACGUCAUCUUCAUCAUGCUCUUCUACGUCGUGUUCGGCUCCAUAGAGCUGAUCUACCUCUCGUCCAUACUGUCAAAGUUCAUCGAAGGCGGGUACCUCCCCAUCUGCUUCGCGCUGGUGGUGAUGAGCCUGAUGGCGGCGUGGCACUACGUCCAGGUGAAGAGGUACUGGUACGAGCUGGACCACAUCGUGCCCACCAGCGAGAUGACGAUGCUGCUGGAGAAGAACGAGGUGCGGCGGAUCCCCGGGGUGGGCCUCCUGUACACGGAGCUGGUCCAGGGCAUCCCCCCGGUGUUCCCCCGGCUGAUCCAGAAGAUACCCUCCGUGCACUCCAUCUUCAUGUUCAUGUCCAUCAAGCACCUGCCCAUCUCGCGCGUCGUGCCCACGGAGCGCUUCAUCUUCCGGCAGGUCGGGCCGAGGGAGCACCGGAUGUUCCGCUGCGUGGCGCGGUACGGCUACAGCGACGCGCUGGAGGAACCCAAGGAGUUCGCGGCGUUCCUCGUGGACAGGCUCAAGAUGUUCAUCCAGGAGGAGAGCGCGUUCGCGCUCGCGCAGGACGAAGAGGAGAGCGGCGAGGUUUCGGACGCCCAGGCGAGGCCGUGGCGGUCCACGGUGCACAGCGAGGAGGCGGUCCAAGGCCAGGCGCGGGUGAUCAGCCACUCGGCCUCGGGGAGGGUGAGCUUCCACACGAACCAGGCGGUGGAGGAGGAGAAGCAGCUGAUUGACAGGGAGGUGGAGCGAGGGAUGGUGUAUCUGAUGGGGGAGGCCAACGUCACGGCGGAGGCCAAGUCCUCCAUCUUGAAGAAGGUGGUGGUGAACCAUGUCUACACCUUCUUGAGGAAGAACUUGACGGAGGGGCACAAGGUGCUGGCCAUUCCCAAAGACCAGCUGCUCAAAGUCGGGAUCACAUACGAGAUAUAG
rnacentral:rRNA from 1 species